UACGGGGGGGGCAAGCGUUGUUCGGAAUUACUGGGCGUAAAGGGCUCGUAGGCGGCCAACUAAGUCAGACGUGAAAUCCCUCGGCUUAACCGGGGAACUGCGUCUGAUACUGGAUGGCUGGAGUUUGGGAGAGGGAUGCGGAAUUCCAGGUGUAGCGGUGAAAUGCGUAGAUAUCUGGAGGAACACCAAUUGCGAAGGCAGCUCGCUGGGACGUUACUGACGCUGAGACGCGAAAGCGUGGGGAGCAAACAGG
rnacentral:rRNA from 1 species